AAAAAGUGAGUGGCUACGUGUGGGAUACGACCAACUUCUCCACCAAAAGUUAAAACACAUCCACAAUUCAUCACUGCAGUCGAACGCCACCCCUUCCUCCUCCUCCUUUUCCAUUUUACCAUGGCAAUUUGGUUCACGAGAUCAAGAACCAUCACCUACUAUUUAAAGAGAAAGAUGGGUUUCGUGGGAAUUCUCAACCAAGACUCUUGCACUAAUUCUUAUUUCGAAUCUAUUUCUUCUUCUUCUUCUU
rnacentral:misc_RNA from 1 species